UGGCUCAGUUGGUAGAGCAUGGUGUUUGCAAUGCCAGCAUGGUGUGUGGGUUCGAUUCCCAC
rfam:Salmo salar isolate Sally breed double haploid chromosome ssa01, whole genome shotgun sequence.